CGCGAUGGCUCAUUAAAUCAGUUAUGGUUCCUUAGAGCUCCUGAUCCUACAUGGAUAACUGUAGUAAUUCUAGAGCUAAUACAUGCAACUAAGCUCCGACCUUCGGGGACGAGCGCACUUAUUAGACCAUGAUCAACCGGGGGCAACCCCGAACGACUGGUGACUCUGGAUAAACUACCGCGGAUCGCAUGGCCUCGAGCUGGCGAUUCAUCUUACAACUGUCUGACCUAUCAACUAGAAGGUAGAGUAUAUGUCUACCUUGGUGAUGACGGGUAACGGGGAAUCAGGGUUCGAUUCCGGAGAGGGAGCAUGAGAAACGGCUACCACAUCCAAGGAAGGCAGCAGGCACGCAAAUUACCCACUCCUGGCAAGGGGAGGUAGUGACGAAAAAUAACAAUACGGGACUCUUUCGAGGCCCCGUAAUUGGAAUGAGUACGAUGUAAAAUCCCUAACGAGGAACUAAUGGAGGGCAAGUCUGGUGCCAGCAGCCGCGGUAAUUCCAGCUCCAUUAGCGUAUAUUAAAGCUGUUGCAGUUAAAAAGCUCGUAGUUGGAUCUGGGGAGCAGGCUGGCGGGACCGCUUCACUGCGGAACUGCCUGUCCUGCCCUUUGCGCCGGGCUUCACAACAUGCGGGUUGCUCUUCGAUGAGUGUCUCCGCGUGGCCCGGUACUCUUACUUUGAAAAAAUUAGAGUGCUCUAAGCAGGCGGACACGCCUGAAUAAUGUUGCAUGGAAUAAUGGAACAGGACCUCGGUUCUGUGAAGUUGGUCGUCAGAACUGAAGUAAUGAUCAAUAGGGGCUGACGGGGGCAUCCGUAUUACGGGGCGAGAGGUGAAAUUCUAUGACCCUCGUAAGACGCCCAAAAGCGAAAGCAUUUGCCAAGAAUGCCUUCAUUAAUCAAGAACGAAAGUCAGAGGAUCGAAGACGAUCAGAUACCGUCGUAGUUCUGACCGUAAACGCUGGCGUCU
rnacentral:rRNA from 1 species